rnacentral:rRNA from 1 species
AUUGAACGCUGGCGGCAGGCCUAACACAUGCAAGUCGAGCGGAUGAAGGGAGCUUGCUCCUGGAUUCAGCGGCGGACGGGUGAGUAAUGCCUAGGAAUCUGCCUGGUAGUGGGGGAUAACGUCCGGAAACGGGCGCUAAUACCGCAUACGUCCUGAGGGAGAAAGUGGGGGAUCUUCGGACCUCACGCUAUCAGAUGAGCCUAGGUCGGAUUAGCUAGUUGGUGGGGUAAAGGCCUACCAAGGCGACGAUCCGUAACUGGUCUGAGAGGAUGAUCAGUCACACUGGAACUGAGACACGGUCCAGACUCCUACGGGAGGCAGCAGUGGGGAAUAUUGGACAAUGGGCGAAAGCCUGAUCCAGCCAUGCCGCGUGUGUGAAGAAGGUCUUCGGAUUGUAAAGCACUUUAAGUUGGGAGGAAGGACAGUAAGUUAAUACCUUGCUGUUUUGACGGUACCAACAGAAUAAGCACCGGCUAACUUCGUG